rnacentral:rRNA from 1 species
GAUGAACGCUAGCUACAGGCUUAACACAUGCAAGUCGAGGGGCAGCAUGAAGUUUGCUUGCAAACUUUGAUGGCGACCGGCGCACGGGUGAGUAACGCGUAUCCAACCUUCCCCGCAGUAGGGAACAGCCCGGCGAAAGUCGGAUUAAUGCCCUAUGUUCUCCUUUGCAGGCAUCUAACGAGGAGCAAAGAUUCAUCGCUGCGGGAUGGGGAUGCGUCUGAUUAGCUUGUCGGCGGGGUAACGGCCCACCGAGGCGACGAUCAGUAGGGGUUCUGAGAGGAAGGUCCCCCACAUUGGUACUGAGACACGGACCAAACUCC